rnacentral:lncRNA from 1 species
AAUGUGAAUGACAAAAUUGUCCUAAAUGUUAGCCUGCAGGGAUAUCUUUCAUAACAACACUGAAAUUCAGGCAGAAAGCCAUCAUCCUGUCAGCAACAGCAACAACAAGUCUACAUUCAGCAACCCACCACCCGAACACAGUUCAAGUCACGCCACAAACAUAACACAUUAGCCAACAAGUUUCUGAUUUAUGAUAAUUUUUUCAGGACCAGAAGUGCUCUGCGCUCUGCUAUUAACCCCAUGAAAAGAGUUCUUUCCAGAUAAGCGGAUACUUGCGGCUGCGUGGAGUGGAUCCCAGUCCCAGUUUGCUACCAGCAAUCCCAACCCAAGACACAGAUGAGCAUUGUCUGGGAAAGCACACUGUCGUCACCUGCCUCCCCCAUCCCGGUCCCCACCACUCUCUGACUGAUGCCAUCGCCUAGAUGAUAAAGCGCCCGUCACUCAAGCACAGAAGUCGAAAUUCAUAGUUCAUUUCUUUACUUAUGUAAGAUCAUUCACUGACAAAAGAACUCAAAUGGAAAGGCUUUGGGCAUAUGCAGAAACGGGGAGAAAAAAAUAAUCUCUCCGAGUCAGAAGCCUCGGGGGAGCAUAGCAAGACUUAUCAAAGUUACAGUGCUCCAUUUGGAAAGCGCCAACCGCCAGCCCUCGGGCGAGGUGCAGUGGUGCAUAAUUAAUGUAGUCCCAGACACAGGUCACUGAAGUGCCCCACAGGUGUGUGCCUGGUUUUCAAUAAGGCCUUUCCCUCGGAACUCCUCUUCCGACUUUGAGUUUGUGCUCCCGGAAGCCUUGCACGAUCGGGAGAAUUCAGAAGAACGAUCUGAAUGCCCAUCAAUAGAAAAUGGCAAGAAAUUACGGCAGAUCUAGUCUCUGGAAUCCUAGGUAUUUGGGGAAAAGAAGCAAGCUGGGUCCCAAAACACUGAUAUAGAAAAGUGGCUGUAGUUUUUGUUGUUGGUGUUGUUUUGUUUUUGCUUUUCAUCAGGAAGGCAAAUAGAAAAAGGUUCACAAUAUUCCAUUUUUUGCAAGACUUCCAUUUUUCAAGUAAGUCUUUGUCCUGAAGGUCACACCAAUGCCCUCAUUAUAUAUGCCCUUCCUGCAAUAUGUGGCUUUUCUGGGUUUCCUGAGCAGGCUGCAGUUUGAGUUUGAACCCUGGGCCUACAGGUGCACAGAUGCUAUCAGCAUUGAUUUGUCCCUCUCGAGACUUUCCAGAUUUGGAGACGUGCCACGCAGUGGAGCGUGAUGACUGUCCAAGAGCUGUUAAGGAGCUACCUCGUGCCCCCGACCACAACCCCCUGCGCGCGCCCCCUGGCGGGGAAGAGGCUUGGCCCCCAUGGGAUAUCAGAAGCAGGAGAACCCUAAGAAAGCGCCCCUCCCUCUGUGCUUGAGGAGACUACUCCGAAGUGGGAUUUCUUCCCGCAAACUUUUCCAGAAGAAUCCGGCGUGAGAAGUAGACACACCUGCUGAAACCGGCCAGCACAGCUACGCAUCCCAUCACUUCAUUGUUUCUGGAUUAACUUCCGGUUGUUUUGUUUUAUUUAACUUUCUCCUUCACCAGCCUUGCUUGCUUUUCCCAAAUAAAGUGGACCCCGAUAAUCCUUGCUGUCUGCUCAUUCUUCAGGCCGGAGGAGCCAGGCUAAGACCACA